CCCCCAUUGUUCUGCUUUGUGCUUGACAUUGAACUGGGCAGGUGUGUCCACAUAAGGUGCAACAGGGAGGAUUUGCAUGCUGGCUUGCUGAAGUGACAGAAUUGUGCAAAAUAACUGCAGUGGUCUGGCAAGCUUCAGGAAGCAGGUGGAUCUGAGGAGUUACCCAAAAUUUCGGUCAAGACAACUGAUGUAUAGACUGUGAACACACAUAUAAAGGUGACAGAGACUGUGAGAGAGCCCAGAUCCUCAUCCAUAGCAAGCAAGGUGCAUAAUACAGUCGCUCUUCCCUGACUCACCUUCCUCUAGUCCUGUCCUGUAUCCACAGGAUCAAGGUUGACUGGAAAGUAAUUCUCCAAAGAGGUGGAAGAGCACGAGGCUGCUGUGCACUGGUGUCUGGCUGCUGCCCUGCUGGAGAUCCAUGAGCAACAGCAGCACGGCAAGUCCUCUUUCUUCUUUCCUGACAGCACCACAGUACCUGUAUCUUAAUCAGUCAGUGUCAGACAGUGUCACAGGCUCAGAGCACUGCUCGAAGCAAAGCACAGCACAAACGCCUCCCUGCUGCUGGUAGCUUAGGUUACCAUUACCAGACUGAGCUGCCUGAUGUAACACUCCUGUGCUCCAGACAGGCUGAAACCCUCACAAGUGCUGGCACCAACACGUGUUCAGACCAAGGCACCUCUAGCCCUGGGCGUUUCUGUGCUCCUGUGACUCCAUCAGAGGCACCACGGCUACACUGCUGGUGACAGCACAGAUGGGAAACAGCAGUGCUGGAGAGGGGGAUGAUGGAAGGAAAAAUGGUUGCUGGGGUCAUUGAUACAGUUUUAGUAAUACAUGAUAUGGGGAAGGAUGAAUUUAUGUAUAUUUUAUAUGAGAACAUUAUAUGCCUCUUGGGCUAUCAAAGUUACAGAUUUGCAACUUUUGACUGGCCUGGUUUAAAUCAGAAGGGAUGGAGGGGAAGCCUACCUAAAAUGAAAUGGUGACAUAAGAUUUUUAGCAGAAACAAUCAAAUAGCUGACUAGAGGGAAUAACUGUAGCUCCAUCAAAGUUAGAGUGGUUUACUGUUUCCAGCAGUGAGUCUGGCAUCAAAGGGAAUCCUAAACCUGAAAUCCUUGGAAAGAAGUGGGUUAUCAGCAGAUACAAAUUGGUUCAUGCAGAGAACAAAGACAACAUUUUGUGAGUGGGACAGCCUGGCUUUUUUGCAGCUCAGUGACAGUUUUCCCUUCCUGGAGCAUCGAGUGGUUAAGCUUGGCCUUUCACCAUGUUAACACAUUUUCCUCAAGGCCCUGUAGCUUCAAGAUAGGAAUAAAUAAAGCUUUAUUUUUUUUUAAGUACCAUAAAAAUUACAUCUGUUCAGAGGGUCCUGCUGAGAAAGUUUUCAAGUUCCAUAAGCAAGUUAAAGCUGUGGUUUUAACACAGGGGUCUGGUGAACUGUGUUCACCCAUGA